UACAGAGGAGCCAAGCGUUGUCCGGAUUGACUGGGCGUAAAGCGCUCGCAGGUGGUCCGUUGCGUCGUGCGUGAAAGACCCCGGCUCAACUGGGGGGUGUCGUGCGAUACGGGCGGACUGGAGGCCAGUAGGGGGAUGCGGAAUUCCGGGUGUAGUGGUGGAAUGCGUAGAGAUCCGGAGGAACACCAGCGGCGAAGGCGGCAUCCUGGACUGGUCCUGACACUCAGGAGCGAAAGCGUGGGGAGCGGUCCGG
rnacentral:rRNA from 1 species